GAUGAAGAACGUAGCGAAAUGCGAUACUUGGUGUGAAUUGCAGAAUCCCGUGAACCAUCGAGUCUUUGAACGCAAGUUGCGCCUCAAGCCAUUAGGUUGAGGGCACGUCUGCCUGGGCGUCACAUAUCGUUGCCUGAUGCCAGUUUCCUCGUGAUGGGUGACUGUGCAGGGCGAAUGAUGGCUUCCCGUGAGCAUUGUUGCCUCAUGGUUGGUUGAAAAUUGAGUCCUUGGUAGGGAGCGCAGUGAUAGAUGGUGGUUGAGUGACGAACGAGACCCAAUCAUGUGAGACCCCUACCGAAUUUGGCCUUCAUGACCCACAUGCGUCUUUGGAACGCUCAUGACGAGACCUCAGGUCAGGCGGGGCUACCCGCUGAGUUUAAGCAUAUCAAUAAGCGGAGGA
rnacentral:misc_RNA from 1 species